AGUAAAGUGCCUGAAAAAGGAUUAUCUUGAUAGGGUAAAUCAUGUAAGUCCUAGCCUUACCUUUACUA
rnacentral:tRNA from 1 species